UUGGUUGGGAUAUUUUUUAGUCCGUAACUGCUGGAAAUAUUCUGUCCAUAGAACACUUGGUGUAAAAACCAAAGAAUUGCAUGAUCUAGCACAUCUUCAAGCGUUUGGAGUAGCUAGGGUUGGAUCUUUCUAGUUCUUUAUGCAAUUGACAAUUGUUUUGAUGCCUUAGGCCCAAGGACGUUCCUUGGCAAUUUGUUGAUUAGUAAUUGAUUAGAG
rnacentral:lncRNA from 1 species